rnacentral:rRNA from 1 species
AAGCUGCGGCAGCGACACUAUGUGUUGUUGGGUAGGGGAGCGUUCUGUAAGCCUGUGAAGGUGUACUGUGAGGUAUGCUGGAGGUAUCAGAAGUGCGAAUGCUGACAUAAGUAACGAUAAAGCGGGUGAAAAGCCCGCUCGCCGGAAGACCAAGGGUUCCUGUCCAACGUUAAUCGGGGCAGGGUGAGUCGACCCCUAAGGCGAGGCCGAAAGGCGUAGUCGAUGGGAAACAGGUUAAUAUUCCUGUACUUGGUGUUACUGCGAAGGGGGGACGGAGAAGGCUAUGUUGGCCGGGCGACGGUUGUCCCGGUUUAAGCGUGUAGGCUGGUUUUCCAGGCAAAUCCGGAAAAUCAAGGCUGAGGCGUGAUGACGAGGCACUACGGUGCUGAAGCAACAAAUGCCCUGCUUCCAGGAAAAGCCUCUAAGCAUCAGGUAACAUCAAAUCGUACCCCAAACCGACACAGGUGGUCAGGUAGAGAAUACCAAGGCGCUUGAGAGAACUCGGGUGAAGGAACUAGGCAAAAUGGUGCCGUAACUUCGGGAGAAGGCACGCUGAUAUGUAGGUGAAGCGACUUGCUCGUGGAGCUGAAAUCAGUCGAAGAUACCAGCUGGCUGCAACUGUUUAUUAAAAACACAGCACUGUGCAAACACGAAAGUGGACGUAUACGGUGUGACGCCUGCCCGGUGCCGGAAGGUUAAUUGAUGGGGUUAGCGGUAACGCGAAGCUCUUGAUCGAAGCCCCGGUAAACGGCGGCCGUAACUAUAACGGUCCUAAGGUAGCGAAAUUCCUUGUCGGGUAAGUUCCGACCUGCACGAAUGGCGUAAUGAUGGCCAGGCUGUCUCCACCCGAGACUCAGUGAAAUUGAACUCGCUGUGAAGAUGCAGUGUACCCGCGGCAAGACGGAAAGACCCCGUGAACCUUUACUA